AUGGAGGAGUUUGUGGAAGCUUUUGAGCUUCUAUCGUCACAAGUGGGUCGAUUACCAGAGGCUUUGAAUUUGAAUCAGCUUAAGAGUCAUUUGUUGCGUGCUCAACAACAAAUGAAGAACCUUGAGGACGAGGCUGUUGUGAAGGACCGAGGUGUUGAUAGAGACUUAGAUGAAGAAGUUGGGCUUGACUUUGGGCAUAAGCCAAAAGUGUGGAGGGUUUAUACUAGAAGACGUGAUAAAGGAAUAAAGGAAUAG